AGUGAACGCUGGCGGUAGGCCUAACACAUGCAAGUCGAACGGCAGCACAGUAAGAGCUUGCUCUUACGGGUGGCGAGUGGCGGACGGGUGAGGAAUACAUCGGAAUCUACUUUUUCGUGGGGGAUAACGUAGGGAAACUUACGCUAAUACCGCAUACGACCUACGGGUGAAAGCAGGGGUUUUCCGACCUUUCCCGGAUGGAUGGGCCGAUGUCGGGUUAGGUAGUUGGCGGGGUAAAGGGCCACCAAGGCGACGAUCCGUAGCUGGUCUGAGAGGAUGAUCAGCCACACUGGAACUGAGACACGGUCCAGACUCCUACGGGAGGCAGCAGUGGGGAAUAUUGGACAAUGGGCGCAAGCCUGAUCCAGCCAUACCGCGUGGGUGAAGAAGGCCUUCGGGUUGUAAAGCCCUUUUGUUGGGAAAGAAAAGCAGCAGGUUAAUACCCCGCUGUUCUGACGGUACCCAAAGAAUAAGCACCGGCUAACUUCGUG
rnacentral:rRNA from 1 species